CAGGGGCGCUGGAAGCUGCUUCCGGCUGAGAUGCAGAGACGAGCUUGCCGUCUCCGGUCCCUUUCACCUGAUCCGGGUAAUGCCGGCGUAGGAAGUGCUGAGA
rnacentral:ncRNA from 1 species